rnacentral:tRNA from 1 species
CCUAACAGCACGGCUUUUUCA